AUAUAGAUUAAGAAACUUUGGUUAGUGUAUCUUUUGUAUCAGGGGAAAUCAAAAGUAAAAGUAGUAAAAUAUCGAUUUAAGCGGAGCUUUGUAUGAGGUAGCUAGUUGAAUUUAGCGGUCUGAUAUAAUAUGUGGUGAAAAAUGUACGGUGCUUAUAGUAGCUAGUUGUUUUCUUGUUGGAGGGUAAGCUUUCAUUUACUUAAUUAAGUAAAAAAAAAAAAUAAGGGAUUAGGCUUUGUAUCAGCCAAAUUAUUAAAUUGUUUUAAAUAACUUAGUAUCGUAAGACAAAUAUUAAGGUUAAAAGACUUGAUCUGUCAAUAUAAACAGGCCUAAAUAAUGAAUUUAUUGAAUAUAGACCGGAGCACUUAAAUAACUCAUAGUAAGCUAGAAUGUUUAGCAAAAACAUUUUCUUUUGUAGUAAAUAAGAUAAGGCCUGCCCGGUGAUUUUUUAACGGCUGCGGUAUUUUGACUGUGCUAAGGUAGCAUAAUCAUUUGCUGUUUAAUUGGUAGCUGGAAUGAAAGGUUAAACUAGCUUAUUCAGUUUGUUGUGUUUUAUAAGAAGUUAAAGUCAAGGUAAGAAUUCUUUGAUGUUCUAGGGGACGAUAAGACCCUAGAAGCUUGACAAUAAGAAUAUUUGUUAGUGAUAAAAAUUAACUUGUUUUACUGGGGCGGUAAAGGUAUGUAAACUAUUAGGCUAUAGGCAGAUCCUUAAAAUAAAGAUAAAACGGAAAAGUUACUCUAGGGAUAACAGUGCAAUAUUUUUGGAGAGGUCUUAUCGAUAAAAAUGUUUGCAACCUCGAUGUUGAAUUAAAAUAUCUACGUGAAGCAGAGGGUACGUGAGAGGGUUUGUUCAACCUUUAAAU
rnacentral:rRNA from 1 species